AAGACUAGGGAGUUGUGGAAGGUCAAUGGACAGAGAUUGAAACCCUACAUAGAGGGUAGUGUGCAGAGAGGUAUAGUGGAGUCCAUCGAUCUUAAGGAUUCCAUUUACUUGGACUAAAGGAGUCACUUUUGCAUCAAGCUAGCGACGUUAAACUUAACACUUAUAGAUUUGUACUUUAGUUUGGUUUGUUUUGUUUUGUUUCUUUUUCUUUUUCUUCUUUUUAUUUUUUUUAUAGGUUUUUAGGUGUAUUUAUGUGUUUUUAUUUUAUUUUUAGGUUAGGUUAGUCUUAGGUUUAUUUUAGAAAAAAAAAAAAAUUGAAAAAAAAAAUUUUGUUUCAAAAAGCUCGAGCAGAAAGAUUUCUGCUCGAGCACUAGCCUUUAUAGGGCUCGAGCACAAUUACAUGUGCUCAAGUAUUUCGGCAUAGCUAAUAAAUGGGCCAAGGCAUUUUUGCUCGAGCACAUGACUUUGUGCUCGAGCGCUGUGUUAUAAAAAUCUAAAAAAAAAAACCUGGUGCCUUUUCAUUCUUCACUUUUUCCUUCAGCAUUCUUUUUCUCUCAUGAAGCUCUCUUUCUCCCAAUCUCUAUCUACUCUUUGCCGUGGUCGUCCUCGUUGAUUCAAGCUUCGAUUUUGCUAAGAAAUUCCAAAUCGCUUUAAAGGAUUCGAAGAACACAAGUUUGGGGGUUUUGCAAUUUGUGUGUUUGGGUGGCGUUAGGGAAGUUGUUUGGUUGUUUGUUGAUGUGUGGAGGGGUGUGGAAUUAAUUUGGAGGAUUGGGAACAAAUUUUGGAGGAGUUUGUAUUUAGUUUGCACACCUAGUUUUUGCUCGAGCAUUUUUAUCUCUGCUUGAGCAUUUUACUGACAGAGCUCAAGCAUAAUUUUUAGAGCUCGAGCCUUUUGGAACAAUAGUGGACUUUUUGGGUUAUUUUGCUUGGAUUACUGUAUGUUGUUACAAGGGGAGUUGGGGUGAGCUUGACGGGGUGAUUUUGACUUGUUUUGGAGGCCGGGGUUGAUAUUUGUGUUAGAUUUGUUCUUGUAGAAGAUUUGUUGUUAUGGCUAGAGGACCGGAGUCUAGAAGAGCACCACGGGCUACGCCCAGUGCUAUAGAGGCCACCUGGAAGGCCUGUACAUUCCAGAUGGAAACACAGUUCACUGUAGCCGACUUUAGUGAGCCCGGGCAUACUUUUUAGGGCAUCGAGGCAUUUAGAGCCCAUCAGCUCACCCCGUACACAAAGCAUACCCCCGCCUAGUCCGGGAUUUCUAUAGGAGAUUAGUCCUUCAAGCUAGUAAAAAGGAGGGAGAGGAGGACUUUUUUACCACCACAGUGGAUGGGGUAGAGAUGAUUAUUACUACUACUUCUAUAGCAGAUGUUAUGGGAUGCCACAACAUGCUCCCUGAGGCUUUUCAGGACCAGCUCACUCCUUUGCCCAUAGGGCUUACACAUAAAAAAAAUGGUACAAUCCAUUUCCUAAGGGCGAUAUGCCAGUACUCUUCAGCUACUCGGAAGUCUUAGCUUCUGAAUAGGUUUUGGUUUGUAGACACAGUUCUACAUGCCAACGUACGCCUUAUUGGACAUAGGAUAGAGAGGCACAAGGAUUUUUUGGAGACUCUUUACACUAUUCAUGCUAGCCACUUUAUUACUCAGAGUCGUCAUUGGUCCGAUGAAGAAGCUGUAGAAGGAGAUAGGGCCCAAUGGUAGGACCCCUAAGCAUCCACUACUAUUCCCCUGCCUUAUCACCCGUCUGCUCACAUUAGAUCACUUUCAGCUCCCUCAUAACUAGGCGUAUGUCACGACAUGCCUAGUAUUCUGCUUUCAGGAGUAUAGCAAUGUCUGGUCGCACACACCGAAGGUGCGGUAGGGGGAGUGGGCCCUCGAUAAUGAGAUCCAAAAUGAGCGGUAGUAAGUGGCUGCUGAGGCUCGAGGUGAGGAGUAUGUUGUUAAUAGCCCUCUUUUUCCAUCUACUGGACCAGCUACAAAGGCCAAUGAGAGAGCUCCUCCUGCUAAUGAUGAUGAGGAGAGUUUAGGGUCAGAGGAGGUAACGGACACCGAUGACCAGCCCCAGGCUACAGCAGUGCCUGAGAAAUCUUCUUAAGCUGAUAUCAUCGAGCCACGUGCCGAGCUGGCACAGCUGAGGUCAAAGCUAGCCAAGUCCCGUGCAAAGCAUACAUAGUCACAGGCUAUCAUUCAGAGCCUAUUGAUAGCACACCAAAGGACUUUAGAUGAGCUUAUCUAUCAUUCUUCUAUAGAUGCGUCGACUUCUACUACUAUUCCUCCCGAUGCCUAAUAGAGUUGCAAGGGCACCAUUUUUUGGAUUAGAUUUUCUGUAUAGGCAUUAUGAUGACUAGGACAGACAUUUUUAGUGUAUUUUGUUUCUUUUUGUUGUAUUUCUGCCCUAAGUCUUAUUCCAAGCAUUGUACUGAUAUUUUGACAUAUAUAUAUAUAUAUGCUUGUUUUGCCUA